rnacentral:rRNA from 1 species
GCUCAGAGCGAACGCUGGCGGCAGGCUUAACACAUGCAAGUCGAGCGGGCGUAGCAAUACGUCAGCGGCAGACGGGUGAGUAACGCGUGGGAACAUACCUUUUGGUUCGGAACAACACAGGGAAACUUGUGCUAAUACCGGAUAAGCCCUUACGGGGAAAGAUUUAUCGCCGAAAGAUUGGCCCGCGUCUGAUUAGCUAGUUGGUGAGGUAAUGGCUCACCAAGGCGACGAUCAGUAGCUGGUYUGAGAGGAUGAUCAGCCACAUUGGGACUGAGACACGGCCCAAACUCCUACGGGAGGCAGCAGUGGGGAAUAUUGGACAAUGGGGGCAACCCUGAUCCAGCCAUGCCGCGUGAGUGAUGAAGGCCCUAGGGUUGUAAAGCUCUUUUGUGCGGGAAGAUAAUG